UUUAGGGAGACCUGCUUCGUCUUGACCGAAAUCAAAUCAUGAGGUCAGAUGCAAGUUAUCCCAGGUCGGACGAGAAUUAGUGUAGGCUUUCAAACUAUUGAUGGGUUUCGGAACAUGGGCUAUUAGCUCAGGUGGUUAGAGCGCACCCCUGAUAAGGGUGAGGUCCCUGGUUCGAGUCCAGGAUGGCCCACCUCUACUUCCUUUGGUAAACAGCCGUAAAAACUUGUGGCUUUUUCCCAAGUAGGGAGAAAACAAAAAAACCAAAAAAAUCUCAUCAGAUUCUUAGCGUUCACUGUGAUAGCCUAGAUAAAGUGAGUAAAAGAGUACAGCAACUGCACCAAUCAAAAAGUGGUCAGCCUGCUGGAUGUCUUACCAGCCAGAACCUUGAAAACUGCAUAGCAACGUUAAAAAGAAAGUCAGUUCUAAGUAGCCCUUUGAAUAGAAGAGCUUUUGAGAACCGGCAGGUGAACACCAAAUGUUUGUGGUCAAGCUACAAAGGCUUACGGUGGAUACCUAGGCACACAGAGAAAGUCCCCGCCUCGUGUGGCAAUAUGAUGACAAGGUACCCU
rnacentral:tRNA from 1 species